rnacentral:lncRNA from 1 species
AUGAUGUUCACCAGUUGCAUAAGUAAAAAUAUAAGAAGAAGUGACAGGCUUUGUAUUUCCAAUUUGUUUUGUGUAGGACCACUUGGGAGGCGGGCAAACCCUGUUUGGCAGGCGAAACUCUUUCUCCUUCCCGGUCCACAUUUUGAUACUCUUCCCUCUGCAGCUGAUAUGCAGCAGUUUGCCAGUCAUGGAUUAGGCAGACCAGUACAUGAGUUCACAGUGGAUGGAGAAAAUUCAAAGAUAGAAUUAAGUUGGACACUGUCUGACUUAAAUAACUUCAUUUGCCAGUGUUAUCCCCUAAUAAUUCUAAAUUUGAUUGGGUUUGAGUUGGCAAGGGUAGGCAAACGGCGCAAGCUCAAAAAGCUACAGACUGGGUCUGUGAGAGAGCUAAAAAAGGCUGUUGGAAAAAGCAGGCUCUACAUAUUGCCUCGUGUGCAAGUAAUGGAGAGCACAUCAGCCACUGGAGUGCCCCAAGCCCCAUUGUCCUCUCCUUCCACCAGUCAAACAGUACAGAUGUCUGAUGAAAAUGUAGCGCCACAUCAGGAUUUGCCGCAACCGCCUGUGAUACCAGAGAGCUCAUUCCUACCUCUCAUCUCUGAGACCACCACAGUAACAGGCCAAAGUCAAGUAUUUUCUACUGCCCAGUCCCUUCAGGAAUCGCGAACACUACGCUCCCAGCAGGAUGAAGAAUAUCGCAAGUCCUUAUUAGCAGACCAACAGAAGGAGAUCAGGAAACGGGCCCUUGAGAAUAUCGAGGAAAGACGUAGAAUGGUUAGUUAUAUGUAA